ACAUUGUUAUCUCGGAGGUUUAAGGUGAGGUGGCCUUUGAAAAUCCCGAGCAGGCUAGCGGAGGAACAGAUUGAAUACGGAGUGUAGAAUACACGAGCGGCGGACGGGUGAGUAACGCGUAAGAAUGUACCCCAAAGUGAGGGAUAAGCACCAGAAAUGGUGUCUAAUACCGCAUGUGCUCUUCGGAGUAAAGCUUUAUGCGCUUUGGGAACAGCUUGCGUCUGAUUAGCUAGUUGGUAAGGUAACGGCUUACCAAGGCGACGAUCAGUAGCUGGUCUGAGAGGAUGACCAGCCACACUGGGACUGAGACACGGCCCAGACUCCUACGGGAGGCAGCAGUAGGGAAUUUUCCACAAUGGGCGAGAGCCUGAUGGAGCAAUACCGCGUGAUGGAUGAAGGCUCUAGGGUCGUAAACAUCUUUUAUCUGUGACGAAUAUGCCGGUAGCAGAUGAAUAAGGAUCGGCUAACUACGUGCCAGCAGCCGCGGUCAUACGUAGGAUCCAAGCGUUAUCCGGAUUUACUGGGUGUAAAGAGUUGCGUAGGUGGCAGAGUAAGUAAAUAGUGAAAUCGUGCGGCUCAACCGCAUUCCCAUUAUUUAAACUGCUCAGCUUGAGAGUGAGAGAGGUAGAUGGAAUUGCUAGUGUAGGAGUGAAAUCCGUAGAUAUUAGCAGGAACACCGAUGGCGUAGGCAGUCUACUGGCUCAUUUCUGACACUAAGGCACGAAAGCGUGGGGAGCAAACGGGAUUAGAUACCCCGGUAGUCCACGCCGUAAACUAUGGACGCUAGCUGUAAGAAGUAUCGACCCUUCUUGUAGCGAAGCUAACGCGUUAAGCGUCCCACCUGUGGAGUACGGUCGCAAGACUAAAACAUAAAGGAAUUGACGGGGACCCGCACAAGCGGUGGAGCGUGUUGUUUAAUUCGAUGGUAAGCGAAGAACCUUACCCAGGCUUGACAUCCUACUAAUUUCUCCGAAAGGAGAGAGUGCCUUCGGGCCGUAGAGACAGGUGUUGCAUGGCCGUCGUCAGCUCGUGUCGUGAGAUGUUAGGUUAAGUCCUUCAACGAGCGCAACCCUUUUGUUUAGUUGUAUUUUUCUAAACAGACUGCCCUGGCAACAGGGAGGAAGGAGGGGAUGAUGUCAGGUCGGUAUUACCCUUACGUCUGGGGCUACAAACACGCUACAAUGGCCGGUACAAAGGGCUGCCAACCCGCGAGGGGGAGCAAAUCCCAUCAAAGCCGGUCUCAGUUCGGAUAGGAGGCUGAAACUCGCCUCCUUGAAGCUGGAAUCGCUAGUAAUGGUAGGUCAGCACACUACCGUGAAUACGUUCCCGGGUCUUGUACACACCGCCCGUCAAACCAUGAAAGUCAUCAAUACCUGACGUGCAGCUUUAUGCUGUCCUAAGGUAGGGGGGAUGAUUGGGGUUAAGUCGUAACAAGGUA
rnacentral:rRNA from 1 species